AGAUUGUUCGCUCUGUAUCAGAAGAUGUUUAUCUGGUAAUUCCAAAUGUCCGAUAUGUGGCGUUGUAAGUGAACAAUUUAAACCAUUGUAUUCUAAUGCCUUGCAGAUUUCAUCUCAGAACGAGUAUCCUAAUUUAAAACUAAAUAACAAUUCAAAUAUUUUUAGAACGUUCAAGAGUCGCAGUUAGAGAACAACAGAAUUAUCGAUGAAAUUGUAAAAAGCUUUGUCAAGAUUCGUAGUCGAUUGUUGGAAGUCGUUAAGAAUAGUUAUAGCGACAUUAAUAAACCACAGGUUAAGAAAAAGACAGAUUUAGGCAAGGCAGUUAAGAAGAAAGAUGACAGCAAAUCAAGAUUUUUUACUAAAAAGGUCA